rnacentral:tRNA from 1 species
ACCCGGGUGGCUCAAUCAAUUGAGCAUCUGACUUAGGCUCAGGUCAUGAUCUCACAGUUCGUGGGUUCGAGCCCCACAUCAGGCU